GCUUAACACAUGCAAGUCGAGGGGCAGCAUUUUAGUUUGCUUGCGAACUGAAGAUGGCGACCGGCGCACGGGUGAGUAACACGUAUCCAACCUGCCGAUAACUCCGGGAUAGCCUUUCGAAAGAAAGAUUAAUACCGGAUAGCAUACGAAUAUCGCAUGAUAUUUUUAUUAAAGAAUUUCGGUUAUCGAUGGGGAUGCGUUCCAUUAGUUUGUUGGCGGGGUAACGGCCCACCAAGACUACGAUGGAUAGGGGUUCUGAGAGGAGGGUCCCCCACAUUGGAACUGAGACACGGUCCAAACUCCUACGGGAGGCAGCAGUGAGGAAUAUUGGUCAAUGGGCGCGAGCCUGAACCAGCCAAGUAGCGUGAAGGAUGAAGGCUCUAUGGGUCGUAAACUUCUUUUAUAUGGGAAUAAAGUUUUCCACGUGUGGAAUUUUGUAUGUACCAUAUGAAUAAGGAUCGGCUAACUCCGUGCCAGCAGCCGCGGUAAUACGGAGGAUCCGAGCGUUAUCCGGAUUUAUUGGGUUUAAAGGGAGCGUAGGUGGAUUGUUAAGUCAGUUGUGAAAGUUUGCGGCUCAACCGUAAAAUUGCAGUUGAAACUGGCAGUCUUGAGUACAGUAGAGGUGGGCGGAAUUCGUGGUGUAGCGGUGAAAUGCUUAGAUAUCACGAAGAACUCCGAUUGCGAAGGCAGCUCACUAGACUGUCACUGACACUGAUGCUCGAAAGUGUGGGUAUCAAACAGGAUUAGAUACCCUGGUAGUCCACACAGUAAACGAUGAAUACUCGCUGUUUGCGAUAUACAGUAAGCGGCCAAGCGAAAGCAUUAAGUAUUCCACCUGGGGAGUACGCCGGCAACGGUGAAACUCAAAGGAAUUGACGGGGGCCCGCACAAGCGGAGGAACAUGUGGUUUAAUUCGAUGAUACGCGAGGAACCUUACCCGGGCUUAAAUUGCAACAGAAUAUAUUGGAAACAGUAUAGCCGUAAGGCUGUUGUGAAGGUGCUGCAUGGUUGUCGUCAGCUCGUGCCGUGAGGUGUCGGCUUAAGUGCCAUAACGAGCGCAACCCUUAUCUUUAGUUACUAACAGGUCAUGCUGAGGACUCUAGAGAGACUGCCGUCGUAAGAUGUGAGGAAGGUGGGGAUGACGUCAAAUCAGCACGGCCCUUACGUCCGGGGCUACACACGUGUUACAAUGGGGGGUACAGAAGGCGGCUACCUGGUGACAGGAUGCUAAUCCCAAAAACCUCUCUCAGUUCGGAUCGAAGUCUGCAACCCGACUUCGUGAAGCUGGGUUCGCUAGUAAUCGCGCAUCAGCCAUGGCGCGGUGAAUACGUUCCCGGGCCUUGUACACACCGCCCGUCAAGCCAUGAAAGCCGGGGGUACCUGAAGUACGUAACCGCAAGGAGCGUCCUAGGGUAAAACUGGUAAUUGGGGCUAA
rnacentral:rRNA from 1 species